rnacentral:rRNA from 1 species
AUUGAACGCUGGCGGCAGGCCUAACACAUGCAAGUCGAACGAGUGGCGGACGGGUGAGUAAUGUCUGGGAAACUGCCCGAUGGAGGGGGAUAACUACUGGAAACGGUAGCUAAUACCGCAUACCAUCGGAUGUGCCCAGAUGGGAGUAGCGAGUAGGUGGGGUAACGGCUCACCUAGGCGAAGAUCCCUAGCUGGUCUGAGAGGAUGACCAGCCACACUAGACCUGCGACACGGUCCAGACACAUACGGGAGUCAGCCGUGGGGAAUAUUGCACAAGGUGCGCAAGCCUGAUGCAGCCAUGCCGCGUGUAUGAAGAAGGCCUUCGGGUUGUAAAGUACUUUCAGCGAGGAGGCGUUACUCGCAGAAGAAGCACCGGCUAACUCCGUGCCAGCAGCCGCGGUAAUUC